rnacentral:rRNA from 1 species
UAGGGAAUAUUGCACAAUGAGCGAAAGCUUGAUGCAGCAACGCCGCGUGCGCGAUGACGGCCUUCGGGUUGUAAAGCGCUUUUCGGGGAGAUGAGGAAGGACAGUAUCCCCGGAAUAAGUCUCGGCUAACUACGUGCCAGCAGCCGCGGUAACACGUAGGAGGCAAGCGUUAUCCGAAUUUACUGGGCGUAAAGCGCGUGCAGGCGGUUCGGUAAGUUGGAUGUGAAAUCUCCCGGCUCAACUGGGAGAGGACGUUCAAUACUGUCGGACUUGAGGACGAUAGAGGGAGGUGGAAUUCCCGGUGUAGUGGUGAAAUGCGUAGAUAUCGGGAGGAACACCAGUGGCGAAAGCGGCCUCCUGGAUCGUUCCUGACGCUCAGACGCGAAAGCUAGGGGAGCGAACGG